rnacentral:rRNA from 1 species
ACGGAAGGCAGCAGUGAGGAAUAUUGGUCAAUGGAGGCAACUCUGAACCAGCCAUCUCGCGUGAAGGAAUACGGCCCUAUGGGUCUUAAACUUCUUUUAUAGGGGGAUAAAGUCGGGCAUUCGUGCCCGUUUGCAGGUACCCCAUGAAUAAGGAUCGGCUAACUCCGUGCCAGCAGCCGCGGUAAUACGGAGGAUCCGAGCGUUAUCCGGAUUUAUUGGGUUUAAAGGGUGCGCAGGCGGCCCGUUAAGUCAGCGGUGAAAUGUCGGGGCUCAACCCGGGCACUGCCGUUGAAACUGGGGGGCUUGAGUACGGAUGAGGUCGGCGGAAUGUGACGUGUAGCGGUGAAAUGCAUAGAUAUGUCGCAGAACACCGAUUGCGAAGGCAGCCGGCCAAUCCGCAACUGACGCUCAUGCACGAAAGCGUGGGGAUCGAACAGGAUUAGAUACCCUGGUA